UUUUCAGUUGAAAAUAAUUUUUCAGUUUCAAAUAAAUGUUUUUUUUUCAGUAAAAUGUUUCUUUCUUUUGAACAAAUUUUAUGGCCCAAAUUUAGCUCCAUAUAAUUCUAAGAAAUAAAA